GCAUCGAUAGCUUAAUCAGCACAGCGCGUAUUUGAGGGGCUCGUGGCCGCGGGUUCGAGCCCCGCCCGAGGUG